UACGGAGGAUGCGAGCGUUAUCCGGAAUCAUUGGGUUUAAAGGGUCCGUAGGCGGUUGUGUAAGUCAGUGGUGAAAUCUUUCAGCUCAACUGAAAAAUGGCCAUUGAAACUGCAUAACUUGAGUUAUUGUGAAGUAAGUAGAAUGUGUAGUGUAGCGGUGAAAUGCUUAGAGAUUACACAGAAUACCGAUUGCGAAGGCAGCUUACUAACGAUACACUGACGCUGAGGGACGAAAGCGUGGGGAGCGAACAGGAUUAGAUACCCGCGUAGU
rnacentral:rRNA from 1 species